rnacentral:rRNA from 1 species
UACGUAGGGUGCAAGCGUUGUCCGGAAUUAUUGGGCGUAAAGAGCUCGUAGGCGGUUUGUCGCGUCUGCUGUGAAAACCCGAGGCUCAACCUCGGGCCUGCAGUGGGUACGGGCAGACUAGAGUGCGGUAGGGGAGAGUGGAAUUCCUGGUGUAGCGGUGGAAUGCGCAGAUAUCAGGAGGAACACCGGUGGCGAAGGCGGGUCUCUGGGCAGCAACUGACGCUGAGGCGCGAAAGCGUGGGGAGCGAACAGG